CCUACGGGCGGCAGCAGUGAGGAAUAUUGGUCAAUGGACGAGAGUCUGAACCAGCCAAGUAGCGUGAAGGAUGACUGCCCUAUGGGUUGUAAACUUCUUUUAUAUGGGAAUAAAAUGUUCCACGUGUGGGAUUUUGUAUGUACCAUAUGAAUAAGGAUCGGCUAACUCCGUGCCAGCAGCCGCGGUAAUACGGAGGAUCCGAGCGUUAUCCGGAUUUAUUGGGUUUAAGGGUGGGGUAGGGGGAUUGUUAAGUCAGUUGUGAAAGUUUGCGGCUCAACCGUAAAAUUGCAGUUGAAACUGGCAGUCUUGAGUACAGUAGAGGUGGGCGGAAUUCGUGGUGUAGCGGUGAAAUGCUUAGAUAUCACGAAGAACUCCGAUUGCGAAGGCAGUUCACUGGACUGCAACUGACACUGAGGCUCGAAAGUGUGGGUAUCAAACAGGAUUAGAUACCCGAGUAGUC
rnacentral:rRNA from 1 species